rnacentral:ncRNA from 3 species
UACGAAGGGGGCUAGCGUUGUUCGGAAUUACUGGGCGUAAAGCGAACGUAGGCGGUGUUCCAUGUCAGAGGUGAAAGCCUGGGGCUCAACUCCAGAAUUGCCUUUGAAACGGGGACGCUUGAGUCCGAGAGAGGGUGGCGGAAUUCCUAGUGUAGAGGUGAAAUUCGUAGAUAUUAGGAAGAACACCAGUGGCGAAGGCGGCCACCUGGCUCGGUACUGACGCUCAGGUUCGAAAGCGUGGGGAGCAAACAGG